rnacentral:ncRNA from 2 species
AGCAACACAAAACCAGACGAAUCCCCAUAAACGAACGACGAAUCGUGGAAGCCGGUGUAAAUCCGGCGCGAUCGCGCCGCUGUGACCGUUCGCGUCGGCCUCGCGCCCGCGCGACGGAAGCCAGACCUCCCUUCGUCGUGAAGAUCGGACC